CAUCACUACUUGGCAGGAAAGAAUCUUGAUUUCGAGAAAUAUUGGUGUUGGCGGCGCUUCGAUAUGGAGAAGACUUUGAAAGAGCAGAACAGCAAUGUAAGCGGAAGAAAUAUGGACAAUCUUCUGUAUGGAGCUAUUUUGACAAAUCGGCUGAUGGCAAGACAGCCAAGCGCAUAAAAUGUGGUAAAACCUACCAAACAAGUGGCAAUACGACAAACUUGUCUUGCCACUUAAAAGCCAUUCAUCCGACUUUAACAAUAAGCGAAUUGCCACAAAGACAGACGCCCUCAAUUCUGUCAUUCAUUGACAAAAAAUACGAACCGUCGUCGAACCGCAAAUAAAAGUUGGACAGUGCCUUAUGCUACUACGUUACCUCAGACUUGCGCCCUUUUUCAGUGGUGGAAAAUAAAGGCUUCCGCAAUUUUGUAAGCCUCCUUGAACCAAGGUAUGAAUUGCCUUCACGGACCACCUUAAGAAAUGUUUCGAUGGCAAAUGCAUACAAUGAAAAGAAGGCCAAAUUGUGCGCCUUUUUAAAAAACGUAAAGCACUGUGCAAUCACUUCAGAUUGCUGGACCUCCAGGGCCAACGAGUGCUACGUUACUGUGACGUGCCAUUUUAUAAUAGAGGAUUUCCAAUUGCGCAACGCUGUUUUGUCCACUGAAAAGCUCCUCGACGAAACGAGCCAUUCUUCUGAAAAUAUUGAUAACUCUAUACGCACAGUACUCGAGGAAUGGAGAGUUUUAGGAAAGGUCACUGCAAUGGUCACAGAUAACGCCAAAAAUAUGAUUAAAGCAUGUGAGAUACUGCAAAUAAGACAUAUUCCAUGCUUUGCGCAUUCAAUCAAUUUGACUGUUUGGCUACAGAAAAAGUUAAGCCCAUUCUUGAAAAGUGUAAGCGUUUAAAGAGGCCCAGGAACGCGAACGUCCUUAUAGUUUAAAGCAAGAAUGUCCUACAAGAUGGAACAGCGCCUAUUAUAUGGUGGACUGAAUUUUUGGAUACAAAGGUUGCCAUCGCAAGUGUGCUACUAAACACGCCCAAAUGGUUAAUGCCCCUAACAUCUGAUGAAAUAUCCAUUCUGGAGGAUUUAAAGGCAAUACUUUCACCUUUUGAGCAUGCAACGGUACACACAUCUUCGAGUACUUCUGUGACAGUGUCUUCAGUGAUUCCGGUUGUUUGUGGCAUUUUACACAAUCUGACAGGCAUGAAAACUAAACUCCAGACUAAGGUGGGUCAAGGUGUCUGUGAUGACAUACUUCAAGGGGUCAAUAAAAGAUUGGUCCCCUAUGAAAAUCGUACGGUAACACGAAUGACCACAAUUUUAGACCCUCGCUUCAAAAAGGAGGGAUUUUGGAAUCCAUUUAAUUUCUCCCAAGGGGUUAAAUCGUUGGAGGAUGAUCUGUCGCUCAUAAAUGCUCCAACAAAAUCCUCUGCAUUUUCAAGCCCGCCAACACCAGAAUCCACAGCAGAGUCCAACCUAUUAUUCAGUUUUUUACAAACUAAUCAAACUCAAAAAAUUCAAAGCGGUCGCGUGGAUUCCAUAUUGGAUUUGCGAAAAUACUUGAAUGCGAUUAAUUUGGACCCUGCCCAAAACCCUUUGGAUUAUUGGAAGGUUCAAAAAAUAACAAUUUAAUUGGUAACCACCUUAAAAUCCAAUUUCUUCUGACAAUAGAUAUCAAAUGACGCCGGAUUCAAAACAUGCGUUUUUAAAUACUUCUGCGUACCGGCCACCUCUACUGAAAGUGAGAGGAUGUUCAGUAAAGCUGGACUAGUUGUUAGCGAGAAGAGAAGCUCGCUAAAACCAAAAAUGUCAAUAUGAUUUUAUUUCUAAACAAAAAUAAUUGGAUAAUUUAGUUUUAGUUAUGUUACUUUUUUCUUAUUUUUUUGAGAAGAACUUGAUAUUGUUAUUUAUCUUAUUUUUAAUUGAAUUGUGAUUUAAUUUUAAUUUUUGUGUUGAACGAGUAGUUUAAGUUUCACCUUGAAUUUGCAGGAAACAAAAACAGAAAACAAUGGAUCUCAAGUAAAGCAUAAUUUUUUUAUAAUGAA